rnacentral:lncRNA from 1 species
GAAGGGGUUAUGUUGGCAUUGCGAUGAGCCGUGGAGCCAUGAGCAUCGCUGUAGUAAAGGGAGACUUUUUAUCAUUGAACCAGUAGAAGAAGAGGUCAUUGAACAUCCAAAAGAGAGCAUUAAACAUAAAGAAGAAGAUGCAGAAGAAGAGCCACAACCGACCGAAGUUACGAUACAUGCACUAGCCGGCUACUCAAACCCGCAAAUGAUGAAAGUUGGAGGCCUUCUCAAACAA